UACAGAGGGGGCAAGCGUUGUUCGGAAUUACUGGGCGUACAGGGCGCGUAGGCGGCCUUCUAAGUCGAACGUGAAAUCCCCGGGCUCAACCCGGGAACUGCGUCCGAUACUGGAAGGCUUGAAUCCGGGAGAGGGAUGCGGAAUUCCAGGUGUAGCGGUGAAAUGCGUAGAUAUCUGGAGGAACACCGGUGGCGAAGGCGGCAUCCUGGACCGGUAUUGACGCUGAGGCGCGAAAGCCAGGGGAGCAAACGGG
rnacentral:rRNA from 1 species